GACAGAGGGGGCAAGCGUUGCUCGGAAUCACUGGGCGUAAAGGGCGCGUAGGCGGGAUGGCAAGUCAGUCGUGAAAUCUCUCGGCUCAACCGAGAAACGUCGGCUGAUACUGCCGUUCUUGAGGGAUGCAGAGGAGACUGGAAUUCCCGGUGUAGCGGUGAAAUGUGUAGAGAUCGGAAAGAACACCAACGGCGAAAGCACUCUGCUGGGCCGACACUGACACUGAGAGACGAAAGCUAGGGGAGCGAAUGGG
rnacentral:rRNA from 1 species